AGGACGAACGCUGGCGGCGUGCUUAACACAUGCAAGUCGAACGGUGAUGGGGAGCUUGCUCCUCUGAUCAGUGGCGAACGGGUGAGUAACACGUGAGCAAUCUGCCCUUGACUCUGGGAUAAGCGUUGGAAACGACGUCUAAUACCGGAUACGACCUUGGAAGGCAUCGUUCGUGGGGUAGGAAAGUAAUUUU
rnacentral:rRNA from 1 species